GACGAACGCUGGCGGCGUGCUUAAUACAUGCAAGUCGAACGGACAGACCCUGCGUUUGUGUGGUUCUCGUUUGGCGAACGGGUGAGUAACACGUGAGUAACCUGCACCUGACUGUGUGAUAACUUCAGGGAACUGGGGCUAAUACCGGAGAGGAUCUCCUGCUGCAUGGGGGGCGUUGGAAAGAUUCGGCGGUUGGGGAUGGUCUCGCGGCUUAUCAGCUAGUUGGUGGGGUAGUUGCGUACGAAGGCUUUGACGGGUAGGCGGCCUGAGAGGGUGACCGGCCACAUUGGGCCUGAGAUAGGGAGCAGACUCCUACGGGAGGCAGCAGUGGAGAAUAUUGCACAGUGGGCGCAAGCCUGAUGCAGAAACGCCGCGUGCGGGAUGCCGGCCUUCUGGUUGUAAACCGAUUUCGCCUGUGACGAAGAGUGAGUGACGGUAAUGGGUAAAAAAGCACCGGCUAACUACGUG
rnacentral:rRNA from 1 species